rnacentral:rRNA from 1 species
AUGAACGCUAGGCGGCAGGCCUAAUACAUGCAAGUCGGACGGGAUUGUGGAGGCUUGCUUCACAUGAGAGUGGCGCACGGGUGCGUAAACACGUAUGUAACCUACCAUCGUCAGGGGGGAUAGCCUCUCGAAAGAGAGAUUAAGCCCGCAAUAAAAUCAUAGUAUAGCAUUAUAACAAUGAUCAAAUAUUUAUAGGGACGAUGAUGGGCAUGCGGAACAUUAGCUAGUUGGUAAGGGUAACGGCUUACCAAGGCUACGAUGUUUAGGGGAUCUGAGAGGAUGACCCCCCCACACUGGUACUGAGAGACACGGACCAGACUCCUACGGGGAGGGCCAGCAGUAAGGAAUAUUGGUCAAUGGGCGGAAAGCCCUGAACCAGCCAUGUGCCGCGUGCAGGAAGACGGCCCUACGGGUUUGUAAACUGCUUUUUGUACGGGAAAUAAACCCACCUACGUGUAGGUGGCUGAAUGUACUGUAAGAAUAAGGAUCGGCUAACUCCGUGCCAGCAGCCGCGGGUAAAUACGGAGGAUCCAAGCGUUAUAUCCGGAUUUAUUGGGUUUAUUAAAGGGUGCGUAGGCGGUUUUAAUUAAGUCAGGGGUGAAAGACGGCAGCUUAACUGUCGCAGUGCCCUUGAUACUGAUGAAACUUGAAUGUACUAGAAGUAGGCGGAAUGUGACAAGUAGCGGUUGAAAUGCAUAGAUAUGUCAACAGAACACCGAUUGCGAAGGCAGCUUACUAUGGUAUGAUUGACGCUGAGGGCACGAAAGCGUGGGGAUCAAACAGGAUUAGAUACCCCUGGUAGUCCACGCCCUAAACGAUGAACACUCGAUGUUGGCGAUAAUACGGUUCAGCGUCUAAGCGGAAAGCGUUAAGUGGUUCCACCUGGGGGAGUAACGCCCCGCAAGGGGUGAAACUCAAAGGAAUUGACGGGGGCCCGCACAAGCGGAGGAGGCAUGUGGUUUAUAAUUCGAUGAUACGCGAGGAACCUUACCCGGGCUUGAAAGUUAGUGAAUGUGGCAGAGACGCCACAGUCCUUCGGGACACGAAACUAGGUGCUGCAUGGCUGUCGUCAGCUCGUGCCGUGAGGUGUUGGGUUUAAGUCCCGCAACGAGCGCAAACCCCUGUGAAUAGUUUGCCAGCAAGUAAAGUUUGGGGACUCUAUUCAGACUGCCUACGCAAGUAGAGAGGAAGGAGGGGGACGACGUCAAGUUCAUCAUGGCCCUUACGUCCCGGGGCUACACACGUGCUACAAUGGGCCAUACAGAGGGCAGCGACCUGGCAACAGGCAGCCCAAUCUCAAAAAGUGGUUCACAGUUCGGAUCGGGGUCUGCAACUCGACCCCGUGAAGUUGGAUUCGCUAGUAAUCGCAGAUCAGCAAUGCUGCGGUGAAUACGUUUCCCCGGGCCUUGUACACACACCGCCCGUCAAAGCCAUGGAAGCUGGGGGUGCCUGAAAGCCGGUAAACCCGCAAGGAGCCGUCUAGGGGUAAAAACCGGUAACCUGGGGCU